AUUGUCACUGAAGAGAACGUGUGUUCCAACAGAAUCGAUGCCCAAUGACAAAUUAUACCGUUAAUUACGUUUGUCAGUUCAAAAACAACGCGGCAUUGUUAAUAUUGCAAACGCCAUUCGACAUGUCCAUCCCUCACAUUGGGACCGCGUGUUUGGAAAGUAAAAUGCCACCACAUGGGACUGAGUGCUACAGCAAGGGGUGGUGCCAAAAGAACUUUAAUAAGGACGAGUAUGCUGUCAUGUUGAAAAAAAUAUCUAUCACUAUUGGACAAGUCUGUAUGUGAAAGGGCCUUCCGACCUAUUGUAGGAUCUGCCUAUAAUAUGGACGACCCCCUGACGUGCGCAGGAGGAGUUAUCGGUUUAAGUAAUUGUAAGGAAGAUGGUGGCUCACCCCUCAUAUGUCCUAUACCCUCGUCUGAAGGCACUCGCUUCGCUGUGGUGGGAUUGGUCGUUCUGGGAUACAGAUGUGGUGGUAUGGUAUUCCAGUCGCCUUCACGAAUGUACCACAGGUGUACAACUGGGUCGACGCUAUUAUGAAGACCUACAAUUACGAUACCACCUCGUUCGAAUACUAAACUAAAAUAUAUCUUUACUAAAUUAACGACUCGACAUUCGAGGUUGGAUGAGAAUGUUGCAGAUACCAUGGACAGCAAAAUUAAUAAAUCCAUUUUCAACCAACUCUAAAUCACCACUAGACUGUCAACUAUCAUUUACAAAUGCUUAGGCCAAAUUGCCAGGAGAAAACGGAAUAAUCUCGAACUGUUAAUGGUAGGGAGGGGUGAUGGCAGAAGUCGGGGUCUCACCUA